GGAGAAGUGAGGGAUGAUGGGAAGCUGGCCUGGGGGUGCGGGGGGGGGGGAUGGGAUGAGCAGUGCCAAGGGAAUUGUGCUGUGAAGCCUCUUAUAGUUACAAGCAACGGGAGUCCAGUCAGGCACCCGGAUGCUCCUGUGAAGAAUGGCUGGUACUUGCUUUGGUGUGUGUGACUCAGAGGUGGGAACUGUCAUUCUCUACUCUGCCUCAUUGUAUUGGGUGACUUCACCUACAGUGCUAGAUAGCAAGCAAGAGACAUGGCCAUGGGGAGAGGGCGGUUGGCAUCACUUCCUUUCAGCUGGCAAGGACAGAAACCCCUGUCUUCUCUCUUUCUCUCCUAGAAACAUUGUAUCAAGUCCUGGGUAAUGUCUAUGGGCCAGGUGGGCCGGGGCCAGUCUCUCCCCUCGGAAAGGGGAAUGUCCUGAUGGACCGGCCUGAGUGUCCUGAUGGCUUCAGGUGGUGAGAUCAUGUCACUUGGAUAAAGGGGGAGGAAAACACAGAGAAGGAUCCAUGUCUUCUGGUACCUAAGAUGGAGCUCCUAGAUGGAAAACAGACAUUGCCUACAACUGUAGGCAGGGGAGUGGACCCAUGCAGGAUGUCAGGGUUUCCCUCUCUGUCUGGGACAUUUUCCUGUGCCCAGCAGUGCCUGGGAGUCAGCCUGUGACCUCCAUUCCUGUGGCUGGGACCGCGCCUCUGGCAUCAGGAUGCAGCUGGUCCAGCUUCCAGCUUUGGAAAACAGAGGUGGGUCCUACGCCCCUGAGAGGAGGGAGCUGUCACUGGACUGGAGGGCUGUGCUCUGCUUCUGGGUCAGUCUUCCCCACAUGUCCUUUUUACCAUGGUCACAGGUGUUGGGGUGCAAGCCCUGGGGGAGGGGGAAGUGGAGGGAUCCAUUACUUUUGUGUUGUCCCAAAGGUCUUCACCACCUUGGGCAUUCUGGUUCUGAGCACAGGGGAGAUAGAUGUUCAGCAUACUGUUGAGGAUUGGGUUCAUGGAGCAGUUGCUACUAGUGCCCCUGUAGACAUGGACCUGAGGGUCCCGGAGGGCAGUUUGUUCCAGGUGGAAUGGCAGCUGAGUGACACAAGUGUCCCUCUUGGGACCCUGCAGGUCCUCUAUGGUCAUUGCUAUGCUCAGUUUCCUCGUCCCUCGGUGGGUUGCUGAAAAGACAAUGGGGGUGAGGUAAGGGAACCAUAGGUAGCUGUUUAAGAGAAAUCCCUCUCCAGCUCCAGCCUGGGUUCUACUCUGAGAGAGGAAGAGAGAGAGAGAGAGAGAGAGAGAGAGAGAGAGAGAGAGAGAGAGAGAGAGAGAGAGAGAGAGCCUGCUUUGAAACUCUUAUUGGUUAGCCUGGAAUUCACUAGAUUGGUUGACCUGAAACUUAAGGUAAUCCUCCUGCCUCAACUUUCCAAAUGUUGGGGGUCACAUGUACUCCACUGAAGGACUGUGAAAAGCACCCUGGUUCCUGGUUGAGCUAAGUCUAGAAACCCCUGUGACCCUGAAGGGAUGCUAGGUAUUUUGUCUGACUUUCGGGGGGAACCAGGUCCCUGUCACUAGCCACAGCCCUCCUUAGAUUUGUGGUCAUCAGCCAUGUAAGGGCAAUGCUUCAAGCCCCUCCACAGGUAGAGAACGUGAACUGUGGUCACAUAGGCUCAAGACAGAUCUCUCCUUUAAUGAGGUACCUAAAUGCCUGGAGGCUUAGCCAAUGAACUCUCCUUCCGAGACACUCCUCCCUGCAAAAGGUAUUUAAUCUAAGGCCCACCCUGAGAAAGGGGGGUACGGUUUCACUCAUUCACCUUCCGCCAUGACAAUAAAUGUCUUAAAGCCAUGGACUGCCUCUUUCAUCAGGAUCUGCUGUGGGAAGCCAUGGAGAAGGUCUUCACCUACAGAGCCACCAUCUAAUCCCCCAUAUAGGCCUCUCUGCGCUCCCAGUCACGAUGGCCACCAUCAAGCAAAACCAAGCCUGCCACUGUAAAGCCAAAGACUCCCCCACUGGGGACCAGCCGGAGCCCCUCCCCUUUCCCCCCGGCCCCAGGCUACAUCUAGCCCACGGGCCCUCACUCCAUUCUCAGCUCUUUCAUGGCUUGGAUGCCCAAGAGUCUGAGAACCUGAUGACCCUGGUCUUCUUGCUGGCCUGGGGACCCCCAAGCCAGCCCAGGCUGUUCUG